GGCAUCGUGGCCGAGUGGUUAUGGCGCUGCGUUUAGGUACUCUUGAGCAUCCUCCGCAGUCAGAAAUGGCGUGGGUUCGAAUCCCACCGAUGUCA